UAACACGUGGGUAACCUGGCCAUAAGAGGGGGAUAACAUCCGGAAACGGGUGCUAAUACCGCAUAGUUUUCUUGGUCGCAUGAUCGAGAAAGGAAAGACGGCCUUUGUGCUGUCGCUUAUGGAUGGACCCGCGGCGUAUUAGUUAGUUGGUGAGGUAACGGCUCACCAAGACGAUGAUACGUAGCCGACCUGAGAGGGUGAUCGGCCACAUUGGGACUGAGACACGGCCCAAACUCCUACGGGAGGCAGCAGUAGGGAAUCUUCCGCAAUGGACGAAAGUCUGACGGAGCAACGCCGCGUGAGUGAAGAAGGUUUUCGGAUCGUAAAUCUCUGUUGUCAGAGAAGAACAAGUCGGAGAGUAACUGCUCCGGCCUUGACGGUAUCUGACCAGAAAGCCACGGCUAACUACGUGCCAGCAGCCGCGGUAAUACGUAGGUGGCAAGCGUUGUCCGGAUUUAUUGGGCGUAAAGCGAGCGCAGGCGGUUCCUUAAGUCUGAUGUGAAAGCCCACGGCUCAACCGUGGAAGGUCAUUGGAAACUGGGGAACUUGAGUGCAGAAGAGGAGAGUGGAAUUCCAUGUGUAGCGGUGAAAUGCGUAGAUAUAUGGAGGAACACCAGUGGCGAAGGCGACUCUCUGGUCU
rnacentral:rRNA from 1 species